CGUAGGCAGCAAGCGUUGUUCGGAGUUACUGGGCGUAAAGGGUGUGUAGGCGGUUGUUUAAGUUUGGUGUGAAAUCUCCCGGCUCAACUGGGAGGGUGCGCCGAAUACUGAAUGACUUCGAGUGCGGGAGAGGAGAGUGGAAUUCCUGGUGUAGCGGUGAAAUGCGUAGAUAUCAGGAGGAACACCGGCGGUGUAGACGGCUCUCUGGACCGUAACUGACGCUGAGACACGAAAGCGUGGGUAGCAAACAGGAUUAGAUACCCUGGUAGUCCACGCCCUAAACGAUGCACAUUUGGUGUGGGCAGUUCAUUCUGUCCGUGCCGGAGCUAACGCGUUAAAUGUGCCGCCUGGGGAGUACAGUCGCAAGGCUG
rnacentral:rRNA from 1 species